rnacentral:rRNA from 1 species
GAUGAACGCUGGCGGCGUGCCUAAUACAUGCAAGUCGAGCGAACGGACGAGAAGCUUGCUUCUCUGAUGUUAGCGGCGGACGGGUGAGUAACACGUGGAUAACCUACCUAUAAGACUGGGAUAACUUCGGGAAACCGGAGCUAAUACCGGAUGAUAUUUUGAACCGCAUGGUUCAAAAGUGAAAGACGGUCUUGCUGUCACUUAUAGAUGGAUCCGCGCUGCAUUAGCUAGUUGGUAAGGUAACGGCUUACCAAGGCAACGAUGCAUAGCCGACCUGAGAGGGGGAUAGGCCACCUGGGAACUGAGACACGGUCCAGACUCCUACGGUAGGCACCAGUAGGGAAUCUUCCGCAAUGGGCGAAAGCCUGACGGAGCAACGCCGCGUGAGUGAUGAAGGUCUUCGGAUCGUAAAACUCUGUUAUUAGGGAAGAACAUAUGUGUAAGUAACUGUGCACAUCUUGACGGUACCUAAUCAGAAAGCCACGGCUAACUACGUG